rnacentral:rRNA from 1 species
AGAGUUUGAUCCUGGCUCAGAACGAACGCUGGCGGCGUGCUUAACACAUGCAAGUCGAACGCGAAAGUUUUCUUCGGAGAGCGAGUAGAGUGGCGCACGGGUGAGUAACGCGUAAGUUAUCUACCUCGGCNNNNNNNNNNNNNNNNNNNNNNNNNNNNNNNNNNNNNNNNUAAUACCGGAUACGUUGAGAAAUCAGGAAAGGAGGCCUCUGCAUAUGCUUCCGUACCAGGAUGAGCUUGCGUACCAUUAGCUAGUUGGCAGGGUAAUGGCCUACCAAGGCGACGAUGGUUAGCGGGUCUGAGAGGAUGAUCCGCCACACUGGAACUGAAACACGGACCAGACUCCUACGGGAGGCAGCAGUGAGGAAUAUUGCGCAAUGGGGGAAACCCUGACGCAGCGACGCCGCGUGGAUGAUGAAGGCCUUCGGGUCGUAAAAUCCUGUCAAGUGGAAAGAAGUGCAUGGUGGCUAAUACCUGCCAUGUUUGACGGUACCACUGAAGGAAGCACCGGCUAACUCCGUGCCAGCAGCCGCGGUAAUACGGAGGGUGCGAGCGUUAAUCGGAAUUACUGGGCGUAAAGGGCGCGUAGGCGGCUGAUCAAGUCAGGUGUGAAAGCCCACGGCUUAACCGUGUGAAGGCAUUUGAUACUGAAAGGCUUGAGUACUGGAGGGGAUGGUGGAAUUCCCGGUGUAGAGGUGAAAUUCGUAAAUAUCGGGAGGAAUACCGGUGGCGAAGGCGACUUUCUGGACGAAUACUGACGCUGAGGCGCGAAAGUGUGGGGAGCAAACAGGAUUAGAUACCCUGGUAGUCCACAGCUGUAAACGAUGUGCACUAGAUGUGGGGAAGUGUUGUCGAUUCAGUGACUAAGCUAACGCAUUAAGUUGACCGCCUGGGGAGUACGGUCGCAAGAUUAAAACUCAAAGGAAUUGACGGGGGCCCGCACAAGCGGUGGAGUAUGUGGUUUAAUUCGACGCAACGCGCAGAACCUUACCUGGUCUUGACAUCCCGGGAAUCUUGUGGAAACACGAGAGGGUGCCUCGCAAGAGGAGCCUGGUGACAGGUACUGCAUGGCUGUCGUCAGCUCGUGUCGUGAGAUGUUGGGUUAAGUCCCGCAACGAGCGCAACCCUUAUCUUUAGUUGCCAUCAUUAAGUUGGGCACUCUAAAGAGACUGCCGGUGUCAAACCGGAGGAAGGUGGGGAUGACGUCAAGUCCUCAUGGCCUUUAUGUCUAGGGCUACACACGUACUACAAUGGCCGGUACAAAGGGCAGCCACUCAGCGAUGAGGCGCCAAUCCCAUAAAGCCGGUCUCAGUCCGGAUCGCAGUCUGCAACUCGACUGCGUGAAGUUGGAAUCGCUAGUAAUCGUGGAUCAGCAUGCCACGGUGAAUACGUUCCCGGGCCUUGUACACACCGCCCGUCACACCACGAGAGUUGGUUGUUCCAGAAGCGGUUGAGCUAACCUUCGGGAAGCAGGCUGCCAAGGAAUGGUCGGUAAUUGGGGUGAAGUCGUAACAAGGUAACC